rnacentral:rRNA from 1 species
UGGGGAAUAUUGCACAAUGGGCGCAAGCCUGAUGCAGCGACGCCGCGUGAGGGAUGACGGCCUUCGGGUUGUAAACCUCUUUCAACAGGGACGAAGCGCAAGUGACGGUACCUGUAGAAGAAGCACCGGCCAACUACGUGCCAGCAGCCGCGGUAAUACGUAGGGUGCAAGCGUUGUCCGGAAUUACUGGGCGUAAAGAGCUCGUAGGUGGUUUGUCGCGUUGUUCGUGAAAACCGGGGGCUUAACCCUCGGCGUGCGGGCGAUACGGGCAGACUUGAGUACUGCAGGGGAGACUGGAAUUCCUGGUGUAGCGGUGGAAUGCGCAGAUAUCAGGAGGAACACCGGUGGCGAAGGCGGGUCUCUGGGCAGUAACUGACGCUGAGGAGCGAAAGCGUGGGGAGCGAACA